GGGAAUGUGGCCUAUUGAAUUUCUGUUAUUUAAUUUAUUGAGAUUUUCUUCAUUUCUGACCCUCCAGACUCCUCUGUCCCUGGGGAUUCUCCAGGCAAGAAUACUGGAGUGUUUGCCACUCCCUCCUCCAGGGGACCUUCCUGAUGCAGGGAUCGAACCGACCGACGUCUCCUGUGUUGCAGGCAGAUUCUUUACCAUUUGAGCCACCAGGGAAGCCUGACCAUAUGAUUAUUUGGGGAACUGAUCUUGGAGCAAGGCUGUGCUACCACGGGCAGACAUCUAGCAAUACCAAUGAGCCCUGGAGUUUAAAUAACCUUCCCGGAAGCUCUGUCGGUAACUCCAUGGUCUGAGAAGUGGAAGUGAAAAGUUUGUCACCAGAGCCUAGGAAGUGUUGUUCUUUUCUCUCUCCCACCCCUAUAUUAAGGGCAUCCACAGAGUGGAUCAGUGCUACCACCCAGUAGAAACCUCUGUUACAGAAACCAGUGAGGUUUUGUCAUACUGGUAUGAACUGUUCAUGAGGCAACUCCCUUCCUCUGUCAGGGGAGGGGCCUGAGUGCUGGUCCACUAGCUCUACCUGGGAAGCCCAGUCUCUGCUGUACAAUGAAGUAAUAUAUGUAUAUGUAUAUAUCCCCUCCCUCUUACACCUCUCUCCCAUCCCCCAUCUCACUCGUCUAAGUCAUCACAGAGCACCCAGCUGAGCUCUCUAGGCUAUACAGCAGCUUCCCACUAGCUAGCUAUUUUACACAUGGUAGUGUAUAUAUGUCAGUGAUCAAGGAAUAAUAGCUUUCUUAAGAUGCAAUCCACAUGCUAGACUCGCCCUUUUAAAGUACACAAUUUAAUGGUAUCGGUAUAUAUUAAUAAGAAUAUGCAACCAUAAUGACUGUGCAGUUUUAGAACAUUUUCAUCACCUCAAGAAAUCUCAUACCCGUGAGCAGUCACCCCCAUUCCCUUGUCACCCUGGCAACCAUUAAUAUACUUUCAGUCUCAAUGGGUUUGCCUAUUUUGAACAUGUCAUCUGGAAGCCUUCAUCUUAAGUGAAUCAAAGAGCUGAGGACUAAAGUGUCUAUUUAAGUCCAGAGCACCUUACCCUUCAUGCUCUACUGCUUUUUGUCCUAAAAACACAGGGACCAGCUGGUACAAAACCACACCCUGGAUCCCAUCCCUGGGAAGAUUAUAAAGAUCUACAUAUAUAUAUUUGCAUAUAUAUGUACAUAUAUACAUAUACAUCUAUUACUAUGCAAAUAUAUAGUAUUAUUUUAAAGUUACAUUGCUCAGAUGCUUUAUUAUACUUGGGAGCAUCUGUUUGCUGUGUCAUAGGCUGAUGUGGCUAUAAAAAUUGUGUUUCUACAUUACCUCUUUAUUCUAAUGGUUUUUGCUCCAGGUCUUGUGUUGUUGUUUUCUCUAAUAGAUGACACUUUGUUAUCGUUAUGGCUUUCGUCUUUUCUUGUGUUUUUCUAUAGAUGUAUUGUUUGAUACACUGAGGGUACCGUACAUAGCAGAAGCACACACACGUGCACACACAUCCAAAGAUUCUUCCACAUCCCAUCCAUCACCCUUGUACUUGUGAUCUGUCACAGUUGUGUGUACUCUUGACAAGGUGUGAGAGGAUCGUAUGCUAUCUUUAUAUGACAGGGGAGAGAAAUAAUAUUUCUCAGUGUAAACACUGCUGUCUUUUAAAAUGUGGACACUUAGUGUCUCUAAAAUCUGACUCAUUGGUCCAUAGAUCUUCAUGUUAAUGUUUUUCACCAUAGUUUUCAACAGUUCCUGGUUAAUCAAGUUAUCACUUUUUUGCAAUAAUGGGACUGUUGGAUACUUUUGGGUGUGGGGAUGUACAGAGGAGGUUUGCCUCCUGAUGUGAUCUCAUAAUGUUCCAUAAUAGUUGUGUUAAAACAUAUUUACCAGGACUUCCCUGGUGGUCCAGUGGCUAAGAAUCUGCCUGCCAAUGCAAGGCACAUGGAAUCCAUCCUUAGUUGGGGAAGAUUCCACAUCCCAAGGUGCAACUAAGCCUGUGUGCCCAACUGCUGAGCCAUCAUGCUGCAAGUACUGCAGCCCACGUGCCUAGAGCCCUUGCUCUGCAACAAGAGGAGCCAGCAUCACAAGAAGCCCAUGCCCUGCAACUGGAGAGAUGCCCCUACUCAAUGAAACUAGAGAAAGUCCAUGCACAGCAACAGAAACCUAGUGCAGCCAAGAAUAAAU
ensembl:lncRNA